rnacentral:rRNA from 1 species
CAAGAAUUAAGCCAUGCAUGUCUAAGUAUAAGCAACUAUACGGUGAAACUGCGAAUGGCUCAUUAAAUCAGUUAUCGUUUAUUUGAUAGUACCUUACUACAUGGAUAACCGUGGUAAUUCUAGAGCUAAUACAUGCUAAAAACCUCGACUUCGGAAGGGGUGUAUUUAUUAGAUAAAAAACCAAUGCCCUUCGGGGCUCCUUGGUGAAUCAUAAUAACUUAACGAAUCGCAUGGCCUUGCGCCGGCGAUGGUUCAUUCAAAUUUCUGCCCUAUCAACUUUCGAUGGUAGGAUAGUGGCCUACCAUGGUAUCAACGGGUAACGGGGAAUUAGGGUUCGACUCCGGAGAGGGAGCCUGAGAAACGGCUACCACAUCCAAGGAAGGCAGCAGGCGCGCAAAUUACCCAAUCCCGACACGGGGAGGUAGUGACAAUAAAUACUGAUACAGGGCUCUUUUGGGUCUUGUAAUUGGAAUGAGUACAAUUUAAAUCCCUUAACGAGGAACAAUUGGAGGGCAAGUCUGGUGCCAGCAGCCGCGGUAAUUCCAGCUCCAAUAGCGUAUAUUAAAGUUGUUGCAGUUAAAAAGCUCGUAGUUGAACCUUGGGCCUGGCUGGCCGGUCCGCCUCACCGCGUGUACUGGUCCGGCCGGGCCUUUCCUUCUGGGGAACCUCAUGCCCUUCACUGGGCGUGUUGGGGAACCAGGACUUUUACUUUGAAAAAAUUAGAGUGUUCAAAGCAGGCCUUUGCUCGAAUACAUUAGCAUGGAAUAAUAGAAUAGGACGUGUGGUUCUAUUUUGUUGGUUUCUAGGACCGCCGUAAUGAUUAAUAGGGAUAGUCGGGGGCAUCAGUAUUCAAUCGUCAGAGGUGAAAUUCUUGGAUUGAUUGAAGACUAACUACUGCGAAAGCAUUUGCCAAGGAUGUUUUCAUUAAUCAGUGAACGAAAGUUAGGGGAUCGAAGACGAUCAGAUACCGUCGUAGUCUUAACCAUAAACUAUGCCGACUAGGGAUCGGACGGUGUUAGUAUUUUGACCCGUUCGGCACCUUACGAGAAAUCAAAGUUUUUGGGUUCUGGGGGGAGUAUGGUCGCA